AUGCACCAUGCACCACUCCCCGAUCCACCAACCCACCGCCGCCCCGAGGCCGGCCAACUACCACCGCGCCCCCUCCCCCCACCGGUGCUCCUCCCAACCGCCCCACCUUCAUUGGUGCGCCCUUCCCCGCCCGAGACCGGUGAUCUGGACAGAGUGCCCCACCACCCAAUUGCCGGCGUGGAUCCUUGCGCACCACCCACCUCGCGUGGCUGUCGCGGCGCAUCCGGUUGCGGCGUCCACCGUCGUCCUCAUCUCCCUUCCAUUCCCCAGCUACCAGGUCGAGCUGGUGUUGGCCGCCCGCGACUCCCAGCGGCCGAAUCCAGGCCGCACCGGCCCUCUCGCGCCGCCCAGCAGCUGGAUCCAGGUGCAUCGGCGCUCCCGCGGUGCGCUGCCGCCGGAUCCAGGUCACUGGCUCAACGCCGAGGACCCCAGGGCAGAGGGCCCCUUGCCAUGACCCUUCCAGCAACCGGAGGUGCUCGAAUCGCCCGCAGAUUGAGGAGCAUCGGGGCGAGAAGUAAUCCUCGCCGCCACCACUCCCCAGCAACCGAAGCAAUGCACCGGCGCCACCCUCGCAGCCUAAUCCCUAAGCUGUGGUCGGUGCGGAUCCUGGCGAGCAGCAGUUCCUAUGCUCCACCUUGCAGUUCGCUACCCCCUCCUCUGACCUCGCACAUCACCGCCGGAUCCAGCUCCUCUCCUUGCAACGUCGAUGAGUUCCAUCUUGGCCGCUCGCUGCCCAGAUUUUUUUGUCAACUCAGUGCAAAUUGGUGUGUUUGUCAAAAGGUGCGAAGAAGGUCAACGACGGUGACGGCAUCCCGGGGACGUGACUUGCCGCCGGUGCAGUUUACAGAAGGCAUUUUUUGCAUUUGCAGAUUUCGGAUGUGCACUUCAUCUUGUGUGGUUGGCCAGUGCAGUGCGCUUCCGGUGUUCGCUCAUUUUUCCGCUCGUUUUUCCGUUUCUUAUAGCUUGGGUCAGGCGGUCCGCAGCAUGUGCGUGCAGUGCGGCAUGUGGGUGUGUGCAGUGCUCAACAACGGUCGUGUGUGUCUUUAA
rnacentral:rRNA from 1 species